GGAAUAUAUCUCAGUUGGUAGAUUGCUUGCCUUGUAUGCACAAGAUCCUGGGUUCAAUCCCCAGCACCA
rnacentral:tRNA from 1 species